rnacentral:rRNA from 1 species
UGGGGAAUAUUGGACAAUGGGCGAAAGCCUGAUCCAGCAAUGCCGCGUGAGUGAUGAAGGCCUUAGGGUUGUAAAGCUCUUUUACCAGGGAUGAUAAUGACAGUACCUGGAGAAUAAGCUCCGGCUAACUCCGUGCCAGCAGCCGCGGUAAUACGGAGGGAGCUAGCGUUGUUCGGAAUUACUGGGCGUAAAGAGUACGUAGGCGGUGAUUCAAGUCAGAGGUGAAAGCCUGGAGCUCAACUCCAGAACUGCCUUUGAAACUAGAUCGCUAGAAUCAUGGAGAGGUUAGUGGAAUUCCGAGUGUAGAGGUGAAAUUCGUAGAUAUUCGGAAGAACACCAGUGGCGAAGGCGACUAACUGGACAUGUAUUGACGCUGAGGUACGAAAGCGUGGGGAGCAAACAGGAUUAGAUACCCCCGUAGUCCCUGAGCGGGCUGGCAAGGCGCAU